UACAGAGGUCCCGAGCGUUGUUCGGAUUCAUUGGGCGUAAAGGGUGCGUAGGCGGCUUCCUAAGUUUGAUGUGAAAUCCUGGGGCUCAACCCUGGAACUGCAUUGAAUACUGGGAGGCUAGAGUACUGGAGGGGAAACUGGAAUUUACGGUGUAGCAGUGAAAUGCGUAGAGAUCGUAAGGAAGACCAGUGGCGAAGGCGAGUUUCUGGACAGUUACUGACGCUGAGGCACGAAGGCCAGGGGAGCAAACGGG
rnacentral:rRNA from 1 species